rnacentral:rRNA from 1 species
UACGUAGGGUGCAAGCGUUGUACCGGAAUUAUUGGGCGUAAAGAGCUCGUAGGUGGCGGGUUCACGUCGGGUGUGAAAGCCCGGGGCUUAACCCCGGUCUGCAUUCGAUACGGGCUUGCUAGGGUCCGGCAGGGGAGAUGGAAUUCCUGGUGUAGCGGUGAAAAUGCGCAGAUAUCAGGAGGAACACCGGUGGCGAAGGC